UCUUUUUCUUGCCUAAUUGCUUAGGUGAGUAUGUCUAGUACUAUGUUGAAUAGAAAUUACUAGAGUGGGCAGCCUUGUCUUGUACUGGAACUUAGAGAAGCUUUCCAUUUUUCCCAUUGAUUGUAAUGUUAGCUGUGAGUUUUUCAUUAAUGGCCUUUAUUUGGGUAUCAGACCGGUACCCAAAUGAGUUCUAGGGCCACAGUAUAUACUUAAGAAAUUUUUAAAAAUUGAGCUAAACUUUCCUUCUGGUGAAAUGCACUGAUCAUAAGUAUACUAUUCAAAAAAUUUUGAACAAAUGUAUACCCCUAUGUUACCAGUGCCCUUGUAUAUGGAACAUUUCCAUUAUCCCAGAAAGUUCCUGAAGACUAUCAUCACCCCUGAGGCUGCUAUGCUGGAACGUAAGAAGAAAGUUAGUUUUCACUGGAGCAUGAAUCUCAUUGAAAUGAAUCUGAGAGAAAAAUUGUAAAAUCUAAAUCAAAAAAAGGUUGGGGGGAGUCACACAAAGCUAAGAGCUCCAAGUUGUUCUUGUCCUAAUCUUAUCUGCCUCCUACCCAGAAUCCCACUGAGGUAUAUCUUGGACCGUUCUGCAGUAAAACCUGGUUGCUUUUCUGAAGCUUUCCAGAAUUUCUGUCUAGUGAACAGAUGGCAUUGUUUUCAUACAAAGAGCAAAAGAAUUUCAUGUAUUCAAACACCAAAAACUUGGAAAAACACAGAGAGCAUGAGUGGUUAUUAUAAUAGGGGAAAGAACAUGGUAUGUCAGCAGAGAGCUAGACUCUGUCCAAAGAAAGAAUCCAUUUGAGUCCUUGGUCGGUCAUCUGGACUCUGCAGGGGAGUGUCAAAGUUGAGGACUGAUGUGCUACACAAAGAUGUGCACUGAUGUGCUAAAACAGGUGCAGGCCUGGCUAGGGUUUCAUUUACAAGGAUGACUGAAUUGUUCUUUCUAUAUACAAAGUUCCUAUUCUAUGAUUGCCCUUGAAAAAAUGUCCAGUCCCUGCCUCCAGGGCUUGCAGCAUGAUGGUGGAGACAGACUUAUAAUAGAGCCACAUAGAAUAUGAGAACAAAGUGUAGGGGCUCCUAACUCAGCCUGCAGGAAUCAGAGGAGGCUCCUGGGAAGGUGAUGCCUGAGUGAGGCUUAUGAGGUGGCUGGAAGCUGGCCAGGGGAGGGGUAGUAAUGAGGUAACGGACAAGAUGAAGGCUUUCCAGCCUAAGGGGACAGGGUGAGCAAGGGCAUGGAGGCCCCAGGAGCAGGGUGAGUUCAGGGAGGUCAUACAAGCAGUUUCCCGUGGCUGGAUAGGACAGGGAGUAGCAAAACGUGAGGCCAGAGAUGCAAGCUAGGUGUUCGAAAAUAUCUGAAUAUAGGGAAAUAUCUGAGCACAUCAUUAUACAAGUUCAUGCAAAUCACUUGCAAAACAAGAUGUAUCCUGUCAAUAAACCUAUUCAUAAGGUUGAGAGGGUGGACACAUUGGUAGUGGAACUUCACUGCCAAGAUCAACGGUUUGCAUGCAGGAAGAAUUAUUUAUGCAUUUAUUUAAUCUAAUCACAUAUAUACAGCAUGUGCUAAAUACCAGGCACUACAGGCCCCAUGAUAAAUUCUAUAUUCCUAACACAAUGACUAGCACUUAGCAACUCUGUCCAAAGUGAGCAUGCCAUAGCUGAUUGUUGAAGGAAUAAAUGAAUGAGCAAUUUGUGCUUUUGCCCAAAGAGUUUACAGUCUAGUGGGAGAAUCAGAGAGGUAAGCAAAUUAUAAUCUAUCAAAUUAUCAUACUUAGGAUAGGGCUGGGAAUUCAUCCUAAAAACGCCUGCAAGUGCCAGGCAAGCAGAGUAAUGAAGUAGAAAACAUCUCCAGGUGUAAGACAAUAGGGAACAGUGGAGAACACUGCAAGUGGUGAGUAUGAGCCCAUUCUACAGGGGAACAUCUGCUACUCAAUUCCAAAUCGAUUAGGAUCAAAAGGAGCAAGAAAUGUGUAUUUUAGUCAAAGGAAAUGUUAUUUUCUAAAUUGGUUUGCUCCCAGAUGCUCAGGAUUCCAGUAGAAUUAGCCUGGUACCUACAUGGAGGUAAUGGCACAAAGGAGGCAGUGGUUAGUAAGAGAGAGGCCUGACAAACUUCAUUUCUGGAUGGACAUGGUAUGGGAUUCAGUGGCUUCCAUAAUCAGAGGGGGACACCACAGCCCUCAGUGCUAAGAGGGUAAACCGUGUCAGGUGCUGCCAGCAUCCAAGACCCCUGCUCCUUGGUAGCCCUUCGGGCUCCUGUGCACCUAAUGAGGCCCUAACUUUAAGUCAGUCUCUGACCUUCUUAGGUCUGGCCCAGGCUCCAGAGCAGCUCCUCCCCCAAACUGCCACAGGAUCUGUGUGGCAGUGGCUAAUUCCCUGGCCAUGGGGAUCUGUUUGGGGCUGUUUGUUUUGCAGAAGAAAACAGAAGGCUUUAGUGUAUCGGAAUCCUGCCCCUCCUCCUGCACCAGUGCCUCCCCCACCACAUGAAAGCUGCUGAGCAAACAGAGAAAUCAAAGAUGAUUAUACGCUGCUGGAAACCCGUGUGCUUCCGCCUGGCUGCGUCUCCCUGCCAAACUGUUAUGUAAGCCACAGCCCCACUUAGGCCUGGAAUCAAACAGAGAUGCCAUUGAGAGCCCUCCCUUGACCCACUCAUCACCUGCAGCCUGGCUCAAACCAUGUCUCACCUGGAGUAGACCUACCCAGGGAGGGCCAUGCACGAUGUGUAGCUGGCAGGUGGCUUUUCCAUUUGUUUUGGGAUUUCCCUCUCUCCUUUCCCAUCCAGCACAGAGGUAUGGGUGGGUCAGGACCAGGCAUUUACUUUGGUUAGAUUCCAAAUGACUAAGAUAUUUUAUAAUGGAAAACUCCAUUUGACAAUCCCAGGGAGUUGAGUAUUUUUCACCCUCAUAAGUGAAUAAUUCACUUUGGCUGUCUAGAUACCAGAGCUGAACAAGUAGCUCUGGAGCCUGAGAUGACCUCCUCACCAGAAAGGGCCUACCCACACUGCUCUGAUGAUCAGUACUUACUUCUAUUUAGCAAUUCUGGGCAUCUUCCUCAGCCCCAAACCACCUACAUGGACUUAUAAGAGCUGUUCCUUAAAUGCCUCAGUGACUUGGGUAAAUGAGCUGAAUUCUCAGGGCUUUAGUUUUUUCUUUCUGCAUCGCAGGGUGAGGAAUACUCAAUGGCUCCACAAUAAGUGUGCUAGAAGUUUUAAGUGCUAAUAUUGGCUUUUGGACACUGUUAUAAUUACAUCUGAAGUGAGAUGUCAGGCUCUUUGGUGUUGACAGUGCCCAAGUGUUUAUGCUCGUAUCUAUUCAAUGCUGAAAUUCAUUACUAUCUCCCUUUUGCAGCCUUAACUGACUAUGCGCCAGUGUGAGGGGCUCAAAUCUCAAGUAAAAGAGGUCUGAACUUUGGAGCAGAUAACACCUGUACUGGAGCUAUAUCUUGGUCUUUCAGAGACUAUGCGGCCUUGUGCUCUGGCCAAAACUGUGCUAAGUCCCUGGAACCUCCAGGUUUCUCUUAAUUUUCCUACAUUUAAUCAGAAACGCAUAAAGAUUCCAAGAGGGCCAGUCCUGGCUUUGGAAAAUGAUUCACCAUCUUCCACUUUACACUUGUUCCAGUCUGGAAAGGGUGAAUAGGAAACCCUUUGCUGUUCGGUGAGAUUGCCCCAGGAAUGAGGAGCUGGGCUGGGGUCUCUGGGCCCUUGACUCUUUUCCCAUCAAUGCUGGGGGCCGGGGCACCUCAGAAGCCAAGACGUCUGCUAGUUGUUGGACUCAUUCACUCUUGAUGACCAAGGUACUGUAUCUAGUCAUUGACACAGAUAUCUCUUCCUGAGAAGAUGAAUAGCAGGUUCAUAGUCCUUGCACAGGCAUUUAAAAAAUGCACAAACCGAAGAAGAAAUUGCGUUGUCUAGAUCCCAAUCCCUAGCAAGACUAGUCAAUAGGUCCCAGUAUCCAGACAAGAGAAGGGAUUUAUGGGAGCACACCAUAAGCACAUGGCAGGGAAAGAGAACACAUUCUAAACGUCCUGAGAACUGGUUUUACCAAGCACCGCGGCCAUCAUGUUGUGAAAGUAAUAAAGCUGCCCUCCCAUUGUCUGAAUCUGAAUAGGGGAACCAGCCUCCAAGUCCAGCCCCCUUCUUCAGGGAAACUUUGCUUCUCACUGUGCUUCAAGAUGACCUUUGGCUGCAAACAAAAAUGUGGCGAGCUAGCUCAGAGCAACUAUGAGCUGAUCCAGAAAUGAAGACCCAUCAAGCAGCCACAGAAACAGACAGAAGCCGAAGGCAGACCCACACCUUCCCUCUGGCUUCUGCUGCUGGGGACCCAGAAAGUCUGGCAAAGGGAAACAAGGUGUGGAAAAACAAGAGAAGAAAGCUGCUGUACUUCUACCUGUCUCCACAAGGACCCCACCUGUACACAGGAAAGAUGGACAAGGUAGGAAGUCCUAACCAGAGCAAUUAGGCAAGAGAAAAAAAGGUCGGGGCAGUGGGGAGGAGGGGCACCUGAAUUGAAAAAAGGAAGUCAAACAAUCUCUGCCAAUGAUGUAGUCUUAUACCUAGAAAACCCUAAAGACUCUUUCAAAAGACUCCUUGAUUUGAUAGAUGCAUUCAGUAAAAUCUCAGGUUACAAAAUCAAAGUAUGCAAAUCAGUGGCACUGAUAUACACCAUUAAAGACCAAGUUGAGAAUCAAAUUAAGAACUCAAUCCCGCUUACAAUAGCUGCAAAAACAAAAACAAA